rnacentral:sRNA from 1 species
AUUUAGUGCUAAUGCUUAGAAAUUGUCCCUUCUUCUAUUUUACUUAUAGGUUCGCUUAUAUUGUUUGAUAUCCUAACAAAUCAGAAAGAUUCUUUGGGGGAUAUUGACAGUGAAAAGGAUUCGCUAAAUAUUGUAAUGGAUCAAGGAGAUACACCUACACUAGAGGAAGAUUUGAAGAAACUUCAGCUCUCUGAAUUCUUUGAUAUCUUUGAGAAGGAGAAAGUAGAUAAGGAAGCUCUGGCUUUAUGUACAGACCAAGAUCUUCAGGAAAUGGGAAUUCCUUUAGGACCAAGAAAGAAGAUAUUAAACUAUUUCAGCACCAGAAAAAACUCAAUGGGUAUUAAGAGACCAACCCCACAGCCUGCUUCAGGGGCAAACAUCCCCAAAGAAUCUGAGUUCUGCAGUAGCAGUAAUACUAGAAAUGGUGACUAUCUGGAUGUUGGCAUUGGGCAGGUGUCUGUGAAAUACCCCCGGCUCAUCUAUAAACCGGAAAUAUUCUUUGCCUUUGGAUCUCCCAUUGGAAUGUUCCUUACUGUCCGAGGACUAAAAAGAAUUGAUCCCAACUACAGAUUUCCAACGUGCAAAGGUUUCUUCAAUAUUUAUCACCCUUUUGAUCCUGUGGCCUAUAGGAUUGAACCAAUGGUGGUCCCAGGAGUGGAAUUUGAGCCAAUGCUGAUCCCACAUCAUAAAGGCAGGAAGCGGAUGCACUUAGAACUGAGAGAGGGCUUGACCAGGAUGAGUAUGGACCUUAAGAACAACUUGCUAGGUUCGCUGCGGAUGGCCUGGAAGUCUUUUACCAGAGCACCAUACCCUGCCUUACAAGCUUCAGA